rnacentral:rRNA from 1 species
GAUGAACGCUGGCGGCGUGCCUCAUACAUGCAAGUCGAGCGAACAGAUGAGGAGCUUGCUCCUCUGACGUUAGCGGCGGACGGGUGAGUAACACGUGGAUAACCUACCUAUAAGACUGGGAUAACUUCGGGAAACCGGAGCUAAUACCGGAUAAUAUAUUGAACCGCAUGGUUCAAUAGUGAAAGACGGUUUUGCUGUCACUUAUAGAUGGAUCCGCGCCGCAUUAGCUAGUUGGUAAGGUAACGGCUUACCAAGGCAACGAUGCGUAGCCGACCUGAGAGGGUGAUCGGCCACACUGGAACUGAGACACGGUCCAGACUCCUACGGGAGGCAGCAGUAGGGAAUCUUACGCAAUGGGCGAAAGCCUGACGGAGCAACGCCGCGUGAGUGAUGAAGGUCUUCGGAUCGUAAAACUCUGUUAUUAGGGAAGAACAAAUGUGUAAGUAAAUAUGCACGUCUUGACGGUACCUAAUUAGAAAGCCACGGCUAACUACGUG